rnacentral:rRNA from 1 species
UACGAAGGGUGCAAACGUUGCUCGGAAUCAUUGGGCGUAAAGCGCACGUAGGCGGCCUGUUAAGUCGGAUGUGAAAUCCCUCGGCUCAACCGAGGACGUGCAUUCGAAACUGGCAGCUCGAGUAUGGAAGAGGGUCGCGGAAUUCCCGGUGUAGAGGUGAAAUUCGUAGAUAUCGGGAGGAACACCAGUGGCGAAGGCGGCGAUCUGGGAACAUACUGACGCUGAGGUGCGAAAGCGUGGGGAGCGAACGAGG